rnacentral:rRNA from 1 species
CCUACGGGGGGCUGCAGUGGGGAAUAUUGGACAAUGGGGGGAACCCUGAUCCAGCCAUGCCGCGUGUGUGAAGAAGGCCCUCGGGUUGUAAAGCACUUUCAGUGAGGAAGAACGCCUGGUGGUUAAUACACAUCAGGAAAGACAUCACUCACAGGAGAAGCCCCGGCUAACUCCGUGCCAGCAGCCACGGUAAUACGGAGGGUGCGAGCGUUAAUCGGAAUUACUGGGCGUAAAGCGCGCGUAGGUGGCUUGAUAAGCCGGUUGUGAAAGCCCCGGGCUCAACCUGGGAACGGCAUCCGGAACUGUCAAGCUAGAGUGCAGGAGAGGAAGGUAGAAUUCCCGGUGUAGCGGUGAAAUGCGUAGAGAUCGGGAGGAAUACCAGUGGCGAAGGCGGCCUUCUGGACUGACACUGACACUGAGGUGCGAAAGCGUGGGUAGCAAACAGGAUUAGAUACCCUUGUAGUC